AUUGAACGCUGGCGGCAGGCCUAACACAUGCAAGUCGAGCGGAUGAGUGGAGCUUGCUCCAUGAUUCAGCGGCGGACGGGUGAGUAAUGCCUAGGAAUCUGCCUGGUAGUGGGGGACAACGUUUCGAAAGGAACGCUAAUACCGCAUACGUCCUACGGGAGAAAGUGGGGGAUCUUCGGACCUCACGCUAUCAGAUGAGCCUAGGUCGGAUUAGCUAGUUGGGGAGGUAAAGGCUCACCAAGGCGACGAUCCGUAACUGGUCUGAGAGGAUGUUCAGUUACACUGGAACUGAGACACGGUCCAGAGUCCUACGGGAGGCAGCAGUGGGGAAUAUUGGACAAUGGGCGAAAGCCUGAUCCAGCCAUGCCGCGUGUGUGAAGAAGGUCUUCGGAUUGUAAAGCACUUUAAGUUGGGAGGAAGGGCAGUAAGUUAAUACCUUGCUGUUUUGACGUUACCAACAGAAUAAGCACCGGCUAACUUCGUGCCAGCAGCCGCCGUAACAC
rnacentral:rRNA from 1 species